CUUCUCUCUACCUUAAAGACUGAGCAUCCAAAUCAUAUUUUAAUGCAAAAUAGCUGUCAAGACUUAGGAUGUAUGUAUAAUAAUAAUACCACCCCCCUAACAUAUUUAGGAAAUUACAGCUUAAUAUAAUGAAAUAUGUGAUGAAGGAAUCAAUGAAUAAUAUUUUAACUGAGAAUAUUCUCUCUUUUAUAAAAGGGGAAACUGUCACCAGCAAAACUAUCACAAGCAUUUACCAACUACUGCUAAAGUAUAUUAGCUGUACUUACCAUGUGAUGCUGCUGAUGACAAUGAUAUUAAACAAACAUUAUAUAUUUUUAGUUUCUAGGAUUUCUUUCCCUCUCACCCAGGCAUUGUACUACUUUGUCCAAGGAGAUUUAUCGUGGCAUGUUUUCUGAAGUCAAUUUUUCCCUUUUAUUAUAGACAAGGGCAGUCAUUUAUGUUUAGGGAGGGAGACAGGUACAGUGCCUUUAUCUGAUCUGUGUCCCCAGCCACAGCUACCUUCUUAAUCGAUGGCAAAUUCCCACUCUGGAGGAUCAGGCCCCAUCUGGGCUACUUCUCAGCCAAGGAAUCUAUCCUUCCCUUCAUCUCCACAUAUCUUACCUGUGAUGUAUUUUACUUUUUGAGGAGGGAAUAAUAUACUAUUUACCACAAAGCACAGCUUCAAAGCCUUUGUGUUGUUCCCAUCUCCAGACAAAGCUUGCUAUUUACCACCUUAAAAAUUUACCUGGGUAAGGGACAGGAGAAGUUAUUGUCUUCAUUUCUGCAUCCUAAUUUUCACGCAGCAAAUGCCCUGCAUUAGGGCCAGAUUCUCACUCAGAUGGAAGUUAUUAACUUUAAGCAGAACGGAGCCGAUUUCAGCCAGCCACAGCCCGUGCCCUUCCAACACAGUCACUUUACAGCAUCCCCUUGUUUGUUUUUUUCUUUGGAGGGCAUGAUUCUUUAAACAUGUUUGUUUUACACAGAGCAGCAGUUGAUUCCUAACUUUUUUAUCCCCACAAACAUGUAAAGAGAAUAUUAAUAGGGAAUAUUAAUAGAGCUGAGUGCAGCACGAUGCUAGUUAGAUUGUAGUAGCUGAGAAAUAUGAACUAGUGAACAUAAUCCAUAAACUCCAUUUGGUUACUAUAAUACUCCAAUCUGUAUUUAUUACAACCCCACUCUGAUGCUUAUACAACAGCAAUUGCUAGAUUUAUACACUCUAAUAGUUUCACAAUAGGAAAAACCUGUGUUCUUUAUCUUUCUUUUCCUGCCCAAAAUAACCCCUUCCACAUAUACUUCAGGCUUCUCUGGACCUUGUCUGGGUUUAAUCACAGGCUGUGGGACAAAAUGUGCAUUAUUAAGAAAUAUAAAUAUUUUCAGAAGCAAUCAAAGGGUUGAAAGAUUGAUUCGGCAUGUAGAUUGGAUUUAAUUCGAAGCAGCUUUGUUCUAAUGAGGACUACUGGGAUACAAAGACGGCAGCCGCUUAUGGCCACCAGUUGGGAACUUCGACUCGCAGCAACCUGUCAAGAAUUUCAAGAAACUGCCAGGUAUUAAACAGCAAAGUGGUGGGGAAGCCGGUGAUCUUUUGUUUUCAGCCUCCUUCUGAGGCUGGAUUAGAAUUUCAUAGUCCCUUUUUUACUGAAAUGACAAUUAAGGUUAAUUUCUUGCUGCCCGUGGGGCCAAAUCCUGCAGUCCCUCACUCAGGGGAAACUCCUAUAGACUUUAUGGGGGGCUUUGCCUAAGGGAAAGGUGGCAAAGCUUGGCUGAGCCCAAGCCCAGCAAAUUUGAGAGCCCUGUAGCAAUUUAUACAGCUUCCAGACCUGGUGAGGUUGCUUUCAGAGUGACUUUUGUUAGAUUUUGCUACCUGCACUCCUAGAUGCGAUGGGACCUUUUUGCAUAGAAAGGUGUUUUUCCCUACAGAGAAAUACAGCUCAGUGUUGGCUUGGAAGCUCUUGUGUCCUUGUUGGGUGACCCAGCAGAACUGCCGGAUCCGUACUGCUUCCAGGGGAAAAGCCUGUAACGUCCAACAAAACAUCCUUGAGGUGAUGCUGAACAAAACAGGAUGCUUGAUAGCUUUCCCCUCAGACUUAAAAAAACCCCAACAGUAAAAUUUCAGCGUGCACCGUGAGGGGACUGUCACGUCACAGGUACUUGGGGAGCACAAGACCCUGGCAGCUUUCCUAAAUGUCGAGCGUACAGUCAGAAUCACAGUAUAUACAGGAUCAAACACUGACUAGUUUCUCUCUCCCCGUAGCCCCCCCUUUGCGUACUUUUGUCCAUAAAAGCAAUAGAAAGAGAGAAAGCUUGAAUUUUCUGAACUGUUUCACCCAUCCACAGCUGGAAUUCCAAAGUGAAAUGAAAAUGCCUUUAAAAUCAACCCUACAUGGGAGCCUGAGAGAACAAGUUUUCCUUUGUUGUAGGGUAUAGUAUUAUUUGCUGUAGGUUUUUGAUAUACAUUCUAAAUUAGGCCUGCAAAGGAAUGCUUCAUCUUUAAUUCAUCACUCUCAGCUGAAAGAGAUUAGCAAUGUCUAGCACGCACCCUUCGUAUGGUGCUGACCUCAUCAAGUAUGGCCUGAAAUUAAUUAGCCUCAUUCAUUCCAAAUGGAAAAGGAUAAUGGAGCUGCAUUUUAGAGAUGACCAUCACAAAUUGUAUGCAGCAUAUUUAAAAUCCCUCCCCCCUCACUCCCCUCCCUAUUAAAAAAACUAUGUAGAUUAAAAUUCUUUCCAGAACUUGCAAUAUGUCAGAGUUAUCGAGGUAUUAGGAGCCGAAACCACUCAGUUUUUAUUUGUGGAACUGGGAGCCACAUUUUGUGUGUGUGGCUGUAAAAGUAGCAAGCCUGUCUUAAUGGCAGAACACCUGGAAUUAAUUUGAUAUUUCCAGGUGCUCUGGCAAACUGGGGCAUCAAGCACUUGCUGUUUAAACAUUCUUCCACUGGCUUGCUUAAAUCAAUAUGAAAGUGGUGUCCCUUUGUCAUUCAUACAUGCAAAGUGCUAGCACAAACUCCAGCUUGGCUUCAGAGUCCUACAUCACUCAUAAUCUAAUUAGAAAUCAGAGCAGAGCUGAAGCAGCAUUCUUUGUGGAUUCUUGGGCAGCAAAUAGGGAUACUUGUCUUUUGUUUCCCUCCUCGAUUGCAUCGUUCACAAGCUUUCACACCACAUCUCUAAAGGUGGUUAGGUGCCUCAAGAUGUUGACAGGCAUGAAGGACAAGAUUAUUUAGGUAUUUAGGUGCCUACCCUGGGUGAUUUCAAAUGGAAUUAAGCAACUGGAUGUUACUGGGGAGGGGCAGGGGAGGGCAAGAAAAAAGGAAAAAAAAAAGCUUCCAGCGUGUAUGAAAAGCUCUAAUUUGUUGUCCUAAACUCUAGCAAUGUGGGCAAUGUUUUUUCAGGGUAAAACUGCCUGCAGGGUAAAUUUACAGAAGUCUGCUCAUUUGUACCAAGGUCAGCGGGUACUUGGUUUUGGGCAGCGCAGCCCAGCCUGGCGGCUCAGCCAGCUCCUCCCUGGCUGGGCACGGUGCUGGCGUGUGCUCCGGUUGCUUCCCAAGAGACAGGGAAAGUAGUAAAGAAUGCGGGAUUUCCCACAGGAAUUUGGAAGACGCCCAUGUCUAAGACAAUGGUGAGGAUUGGGCCAAAACCUAGAUCCAGUCUGGAUCCCUCCAUCUGAGUAGCCCUGCCUCGACCUACGACUGCUGAUGGAUCGCAGCGACGUGGACCUUUCUCUCUCCUCACUCCCCAGCAUCAGAUCACAAAGAGGGCCUGAGAUAAUACUGGAUGAACCAUCACCAGACCAUGACUGGAAAAUGUGGGGACCAAGCACACAGAGAGGUGGCUGAUGCAGCUCAUUCCCUGACUGUCACUGGGCAGCUCUCUGUCAUGGCAUAAGUUACCAGAGGCGGGACAAACAUUGUGAGGACUGUUCCUGUUCUGGCUGCUCCUCAUCAGUGCUUUGAGUUGUGGGAAGCCCUGAGAACCGAGGCAACAUGAGUGCGUGAUCAGAACUGACAUUGUUUCAUCAUUUUCUCUCCAUUUUCUGGAUGAAGCAGCCAACAUGAGGAGGGCAUGCUGGCACACAUCCCACUUGGUAGGUGAAAAGAACAAACCGACAAACUUUUUUAAUAUGCUGCAGCUUAUCAACAUCCCAGUGAAUAAAGGGUUCCUGAUGCUAAAGGUCUGACCUUAAAAGGAGGAGUGCAUAGGGCAAGAAUGGGUACCGCAGUGAGCUUCUGGCCUUCAACCCUUCCAAAUACAGCUAUUUUGGUAACCAGAACAGUAUAUUCAUGAUGGGUGAGAGAACAGAGCCUUCCAGUGACGGAUUUCUCAGCACAUUAACUCUAUCAGUGCUGGAUGCUGUGUCCCUAUGUAGGUUGCCCGUGUCUAUUUAAGACCCCCAAAUGCAGAUUUGCAGAAGUCUGCAGCUUUCUGUAACUUCAUGGCCACGCUUCAGUGCCUGCUGCAUCUGAAAACCGAACCAUUCUUCCUGGGGAUUUCCAUGUAGAUGUGGGGACAACUGCAAUCACAUGCCACUGUGAGUAGUUCAGACUUGGAUGUCUUGUCUGCAGGAGAGGCACAGCCGGGUUUGCUAUAGUGCAACUGUCCUCAUUAACGUUCUUCAAGCCCUGACGUACUGGGACAAACAUCAUUGGCUGAGUUUUUUGGGCUCAUUCUUUCGGCUUCAAAAUGUUAAACGGGGUGAUAAUGAAUAGUAACCGUGUCCCUUUUUAUAGUGAAGUUGACACUUGCCUUCUAGCAAACACAGAGAUGACCCUCCUCAUUUCACACAUGUCACCAAGCAGCCCCUGGGAUGGGAAGGGUUACUGGCCAUUUACCAAACUCUGUUUGACUUGGGUUCAUGGGUGAGAGAUGAAAGGCACUAUAUUGCAUUACCAAUCCCUGGGGCCAGGCAGUCUCCCUAAAGAAGCAUUUCAUUUAGCAAGGCAACUGCUGGCCCAUGGGAAUUGCAUAGUUAAGAAAAAGAGGAAGCAGUUUCAAUUGCAAAUGCUUUCUUAGGGCAUAUGUCUUAAAGCCACAUGGAAACUCUGCUUCAGUGUGGCAGUAGAUGCUCCAGGACACAAUGGCCAGCAGAUUUUUCCUACAAUUGUUCUCCCUUUCUUCUCACCAAAAUAUCCAUCAGGUUACUCAUGGUAUUUCUGCCUCUGCCCUAUUCUGUUUUGCUCCAUCUCUGUUGGGGAUAUGCCCCAUACCUGGAGCAAGCCCAGUGCAGCGGGUGUGAACUGUUACCUUUUCUAAGAGCUUCAAAGUCUAGGCAACAUGCUUUCUUCAUCUCCCAGAUGAAACAAGUAGCCCUGAUAUCACACUUAGAGCUUCUGUCAGGAGCUUGGAAGGAGCAUUCUCCUGAACAUUUCAGUAUGCUAGAGCCGAGAUGCUAACUGAUUUUCUUGGCUAUAGUGGAGAGGUCCUUGCUAUCGGGGUAAUCCAAGUAUUGCCUUUUUACAGAUGAUGGAUGCAGUGCUUAAUGUUGCAAUGGUUACAGGAAGGAGAACAUCUGCUGCUCAGACAGACCAAAAAUUCAACCUGGAUUCAGCCCGAGUUCCUUAUGAUCUCAAAAUCCAGUGUUGUGCCAAAUUCAUUAGCUCUGGUCAAAAUCCUCUUUAGCUUUUCUUCCUUGCUGUUUGGGAAGUGAAUCACGAGACGUUCAGAAGUUGCAUUUGUUGUUUGAUACUUUUAUGUAACGGUUGUAAUAGUGAAUCUGAUGAGUCAGCAGUUCUUUCCAUGUUUGUUUGUUUAUUUAUUUAAUAGUCCAUUUCCAGCAAGUUCUUGUUACCCAGUUCCUGCCGACAACCAGGGAACAGGAACAAGUCAGCUGAGAAAAUGAACGACUAGAAGACUCUGUGGUCUCAGUGAUACUGCACCAUCCUGUUCCCUGCUUCCAGGCUGGGGUCACAAGUUGGACUUGGAAGAAUCAUCUUCUGUGCAGAAAUGUGACUGGGAUAUGAAUACUAUUUCAGGAGAUGAAUCAUUCAAAUAUCCUUCUACAGAUUCCAGGAAGAAAUUUGUACAUCAGAUUUGCUGGUGAUGUCCCACUAAUGAAAUGGUGAAUUUUAUAAACUCAUCAGGGAGGGUAAGUGCCCAAUAGAAAAGAUGUCAGAUAGAGAUCCAGAAAUUACAGUCACUUGUAACAGAAAUAAAACAAGGAAUGCUUACUAAUGAGUCAUGAAUUUCUUUAUAAUUGCUUCCACAUUUGGUCAACUUUUCCUUAAAUCAUCUACAGAGACCCUGCAAUUCAUGGGACUUUUGAUAGUUGUUAUGAUCAGAACAACACAUUUCAUCUGAUAAAAAUUACUUACGUUGGGAAGGAUUUUUUCCUCCUCAAAUUACUUUUCCGAGGAUUUAUUUCAAUCCCCAGUUAUUUUCUUAUCCUCCUCCUCAUUUUCUAUUUCUAAUAUAAAAACAGGAGUUCAUAUCAAUUUAGAAGAGAAAUAAAACUAAAGAAAAUUCAGGCAAAACUUUAAAGCAUGGUCUAUUUUAAAGUUCCAACUCAGAUAAUAAGAAUUUUUCGUUUUGUGCUGUACUUCUCUCAUGAACUCAGUUUUCCAUAGUGCAUUCAGUGAUGUAAUAAUGCAAAUCAAAUACAAUUUUAAUAACUCCUUCCAUUAAAAUGAUCUAUUAAUGUUUUAAGACUUCAACACUUAUGAGCAUGAUUCUAAUUGCAUGAAUUUGCUGCGGGCAGGUUUUAGAGAUCUGCCUGAUCUUCAGAUAUUUGCACUGUUUGGAUUAUUUUAAAUAAAUUAAUUUUUGGAAGAGCUUCAGUCUCAGUAACAACAAUUGGGUUUGAUAGUGGUUUUCUGGUGGGUAAUUGUAGGUAUCUGCUUUCAUGUGAAGAAAAAAUGGAUAAUUUAGAACUCUUUGAAAGGAGAUGGCUGAGGUUUAUACAAUGUCAAAAGUUAUGAAGAAUGUUCUGAAGAGUGGAAUGUUUAUUCACUAUGUUAGUACAAAGUGCAAAAGAGGUUAAAAGUGAACAAAAUUUUACGUCUGUCAUGCAGCACAAUUAAACCAUGGGACUUUCUGUCACAGAAUACUAAAAAUAUAAUCAAAUUUAAAAAGGAAUUGAAAUUCAUGGAAGAUGGUUCCUUUGUACCAUUAAACAUUCUUGUUUUAUGUAACUUCUAUUGUCAGUCUCUAAUGCACUGAGUGACACGAACAAGGAAGAUGCCUCAGGAGAAGAAUUAGCUUGUGUUUGACUUCUGAAAUUUUUCUGUAUGUCUGCUAGGGGUUUCUGCCACAGACGUGGUGAGGGGCUAGCUGGACCUUUGGUCUAACCCAGCACAGCUACAUCUAGGCAAGACAAACGGUUUUUUGAAAGCUUGUUUGUCUCUUCAGAAACCUGUGAAAAACCUCAGGUUUUCCUGUCAUUCUGCAGAGUGGGAUGAAGACAACGAACAAGAUGGGCCUUGGGAAGAAAAUAAGAAGGACAGCAAGAGUUGCAAAGAAAGCAUUUGCUGAGUGGCCUGGUAGGCUCUUGGCCACUGGCAUGCUGGCUCUCCUCCUCAUAUGUGUUAUUAUUCCCCUUGAGCAUAACCUUAGAUCUACAGCAGAAGGUUCCCUCUUUCAAGCUGAACCAAAGCAUCAACACAACCUUGCACUUUCGAGUCAACAUUUCUUCUGUAGAGAAUUUACUCCAAUUUUUGUUCAUGACAAAUGCCUACAUAAGCCUUGAACAAAUGACUGUUAAAACUAGAAAUGGUAAUUUUCUUUGGAGGUUCAAGAAUUCCUAUUUCCUGAAUGUUGCUAAUUGUGCACUGAGAAGUGAUUCCUGCAAAAAAAUAACAUGUCCUUUAGUGAAUAUGGCUUUACCCACUGUGGCAGUGUUGGUUCUUCUGCCUGAUGAACCCUGCGUCUGGCAUGACAGAAAAGAAGAAAAUUUCCUUUGAUAUAUCAAGGGUGUGUUUUCCUUGCAGGAUGGAGUCCUAACAGACUUCCCACAGAGUUUAUACACUGUCAAAGAAGUUGUGUAUAAUUUGUGCAAAACCUAUGACAAAUUUUCACUUCAACAGAAACACUUUAGUUCGGUCCUAUUUGAGAGUAAUGGAGGGGACAACAGGCCAUAGGUGUACAGGCUUUGAGAAAUGCAACGAACAGAUACUCAGAAAUAUGGAUAAUUUCAGCAGUAUUUGAAGUUUCAGUGCUGGAUCAACUCAGAGCAUGAAGUUCUCUAUUAUUCCUCCUCAGAAGCCAUCCCAAAGAAGAAGACCCUGAGAUACUGAAUUGAUGAUACAAGUGGAUAAUGUCUGUGGUUUCCCAUGAAAACUCUGUAUAGGAAAAUGCCAAACAGGCAAAAAGGUUUGCAGGGAAUCAUGUGGCUUUAAUGAGGCUUCUCAACUGAAAAAAAAGAUGUUAAAGACAUUUCAAAAUAAUUCCAAGUGUCCCAAUAUAUGUUUUUCUAAAUUAACAUUUAUUUGCUUU